rnacentral:lncRNA from 1 species
UAGAGGGGUAUAGAGAGGGAAAUCAGAGCUGAGAAGGCACUAACCACCGUGCACCCUAGAGCUUAGUCCUGCUUUUCCUUUGUUUCUAGUACAGACAUUGUUUCAGCCUUGCUAAUAAGCUCAGGGCAUGGGGAAAUAGUGAAUAUUCUUGAUCCAGUUAGCAGCCAGAAAGGAGUACAAGUUAAAAUUAGAGUACCAUAGCCACGCCUGGUGGCACACACCUUUAAUCUGAGCACUCCAGAGGAAGAGGUUGGUGGGUAUCUUAAGUUGUAGGCCAACCUGGUCUACAUAGAAAGCUCCAUGCCAGUUAGGUUUAUAGUAAGACCCUAUCUCAGUAGAAAAAAAAGAAAAGGAGAAAGAGAUUAACAUACAGCAACAUACAGGUGGUAAAGGGGAAAAGUAAACUUAUUUAGAAUGUGGGCCCCGAUUAAAGACCUAGUACUCAGAACUGUAGAUAGGGUGAGAAUAGCUGCUCCUAUCUGUUUACCCCAGUAAUUCCCCAAAUUUGUACCAAUGGUUAUUUAAUUUUGAUACAGGUUCUCAUUGUGUAACCCAGCCUCAAACCUGCAGUGCUCUUGCCCUGGCCUCCUGAGUGUUGUAGUUGUGGGUAUGUGUCACCUCACCUGGCUACAAGACUAUGUAACUCAGACACCCUAGAGAAGCGCCUCAUCAUUUUCAAAUCAAAUAAUUCUAGCAUGCAGACAACAUUGAAAAAUCCAGCUGAUUGGUCACAUGGUUCUUUCUUCUUCUUGUUUGUUUGUUUGUUUGUUUCGGAUUUUGGUUUUUGGUUUUUCGAGACAGGGUUUCUCUGUGUAGCCCUGACUGUCCUGGAACUCACUCUAGACCAGGCUGGCCUCAAACUCAGAGAUCCUCCUGCAUCUGCCUCCUGACUGUUAGGAUUAAAGGCGUGCACCACCACUGCCCGGCCAUAUGAUUCUUUUUUGAUGCUAAUUCUCAUCACAGUUCACAAGACUGCAGGCACAACAUAAUAUCUGUAAUAGUUUAUUUCAAAGAUUUGACAUUUACAAGUAGAGGCACCACAUGCUAUCUGACAGUAAAAUACUGCAGGGACUGAAGGCCAAGGAGAGAGAUCCACAGAAGACAGGCCUGUAGUGCAGGCAUUGCAUCGACCUUGCCCACAGUGCUUUGUUCCCAACUCAGGACAGUACUUUAGUGCUUGCUUCAUUUACUGGAAAAGUUCACUGGACAUAGUUUCCACUUCUUCCCCCACAGCUUCCAGCUCAGCAAACUGUAGAGAACAGACAAUGUCAAAAACUGACACUGCAGAUAACACUUUAAAACAGCAUUCCCUUCUGACCCUAUCUGCUGUGGUUUAAUAUUCCCAACUUAGAAGUCUUAACUAGAGAAUUUACACUUUGUUAUACUUGACCUUGUUCCUUCAUUGCAUAAACUUUGAUUACACU